CGGUCGCAAGAUUAAAACUCAAAGGAAUUGACGGGGACCCGCACAAGCGGUGGAUGAUGUGGAUUAAUUCGAUGCAACGCGAAAAACCUUACCUACCCUUGACAUGGAUGGAAUCCUGAAGAGAUUUGGGAGUGCUCGAAAGAGAACCAUCACACAGGUGCUGCAUGGCUGUCGUCAGCUCGUGUCGUGAGAUGUUGGGUUAAGUCCCGCAACGAGCGCAACCCUUGUCAUUAGUUGCUACGAAAGGGCACUCUAAUGAGACUGCCGGUGACAAACCGGAGGAAGGUGGGGAUGACGUCAAGUCCUCAUGGCCCUUAUGGGUAGGGCUUCACACGUCAUACAAUGGUACAUACAGAGGGCCGCCAACCCGCGAGGGGGAGCUAAUCCCAGAAAGUGUAUCGUAGUCCGGAUUGGAGUCCGCAACUCGACUCCAUGAAGUUGGAAUCGCUAGUAAUCGCGGAUCAGCAUGUCGCGGUGAAUACGUUCCCGGGUCUUGUACACAC
rnacentral:rRNA from 1 species